GGACGAACGCUGGCGGCGUGCCUAAUACAUGCAAGUCGAACGAGCUCUCCCAAAUUGAUUUUAUGCUUGCAUAAAUGAUUUUUGGAUUCGGAGCGAGUGGCGAACUGGUGAGUAACACGUGGGUAACCUGCCCCGAAGCGGGGGAUAACAUUUGGAAACAAGUGCUAAUACCGCAUAAUUAGUUGGAACCGCAUGGUUCCAACUUGAAAGAUGGCUCUGCUAUCACUUUGGGAUGGACCCGCGCCGUAUUAGUUAGUUGGUGAGAUAAAAGCCCACCAAGACGAUGAUACGUAGCCGACCUGAGAGGGUAAUCGGCCACAUUGGGACUGAGACACGGCCCAGACUCCUACGGGAGGCAGCAGUAGGGAAUCUUCCACAAUGGACGAAAGUCUGAUGGAGCAACGCCGCGUGAGUGAUGAAGGUUUUCGGAUCGUAAAACUCUGUUGUUAAAGAAGAACAAGUGUUAGAGUAACUGUUAACACUUUGACGGUAUUUAACCAGAAAGCCACGGCUAACUACGUGCCAGCAGCCGCGGUAAUACGUAGGUGGCAAGCGUUGUCCGGAUUUAUUGGGCGUAAAGCGAGCGCAGGCGGUUUUGUAAGUCUGCUGUGAAAGCCCUCAGCUCAACUGAGGAAGUGCAGUGGAAACUACAAAACUUGAGUACAGAAGAGGAAAGUGGAACUCCAUGUGUAGCGGUGAAAUGCGUAGAUAUAUGGGAAGAACACCAGUGGCGAAGGCGGCUUUCUGGUCUGUUACUGACGCUGAGGCUCGAAAGCAUGGGUAGCGAACAGGAUUAGAUACCCUGGUAGUCCAUGCCGUAAACGAUGAAUACUAGGUGUUGGAGGGUUUCCGCCCUUCAGUGCCGCAGCUAACGCAUUAAGUAUUCCGCCUGGGGAGUACGACCGCAAGGUUGAAACUCAAAGGAAUUGACGGGGGCCCGCACAAGUGGUGGAGCAUGUGGUUUAAUUCGAUGCUACGCGAAGAACCUUACCAGCUCUUGACAUCUUCUGCCAACCCAAGAGAUUGGGCGUUCCCUUCGGGGACAGAAUGACAGGUGGUGCAUGGUUGUCGUCAGCUCGUGUCGUGAGAUGUUGGGUUAAGUCCCGCAACGAGCGCAACCCUUAUUAUUAGUUGCCAGCAUUUAGUUGGGCACUCUAGUGAGACUGCCGGUGAUAAACCGGAGGAAGGUGGGGACGACGUCAAAUCAUCAUGCCCCUUAUGAGCUGGGCUACACACGUGCUACAAUGGAUGGUACAACGAGUCGCGAAACCGCGAGGUCAAGCUAAUCUCUUAAAGCCAUUCUCAGUUCGGAUUGCAGGCUGCAACUCGCCUGCAUGAAGUUGGAAUCACUAGUAAUCGUGGAUCAGCAUGCCACGGUGAAUACGUUCCCGGGCCUUGUACACACCGC
rnacentral:rRNA from 1 species